UACGUAGGGGGCUAGCGUUGCUCGGAAUCACUGGGCGUAAAGCGCACGUAGGCGGCUUGCUAAGUCAGGGGUGAAAUCCUGGAGCUCAACUCCAGAACUGCCCUUGAUACUGGCGGUCUCGAGUCCGGGAGAGGUGAGUGGAACUGCGAGUGUAGAGGUGAAAUUCGUAGAUAUUCGCAAGAACACCAGUGGCGAAGGCGGCUCACUGGCCCGGUACUGACGCUGAGGUGCGAAAGCGUGGGGAGCAAACCGG
rnacentral:rRNA from 1 species